rnacentral:rRNA from 1 species
UACGGAGGGUGCAAGCGUUGCUCGGAAUUAUUGGGCGUAAAGGGUAGGUAGGUGGUCUCAUUUGUCUGGGGUGAAAGCCUUGGGCUUAACUCAAGAAGUGCCCCAGAAACGGUGAGACUAGAGUCCUGGAGAGGGUCGUGGAAUUCCCGGUGUAGCGGUGAAAUGCGUAGAGAUCGGGAGGAACACCAGUGGCGAAGGCGACUACCUGGCCUGUUCUUGACGCUGAAGCACGAAAGCGUGGGGAGCAAACAGG